rnacentral:tRNA from 1 species
CAGUAAAUAUUUUAUAAUAAAAUUUUAAUUUUGGAGAUUAAUGAAGUGAUAAUCACUUUACUGA